rnacentral:rRNA from 1 species
UACAGAGGUCUCAAGCGUUGUUCGGAUUCAUUGGGCGUAAAGAGCUCGUAGGCGGCGCAACAAGUCACUUGUGAAAUCUCCGGGCUUAACCCGGAGCGGCCAAGUGAUACUGUCGUGCUAGAGUGCGGAAGGGGCUACUGGAAUUCUCGGUGUAGCGGUGAAAUGCGUAGAUAUCGAGAGGAACACCUGCGGCGAAGGCGGGUAGCUGGGCCGACACUGACGCUGAGGCGCGAAAGCCAGGGGAGCGAACGGG